CACGGAAUUAGCCGGUCCUUAUUCAUGCGGUACCUGCAAAAGCCCACACGUGGACUCCUUUAUCCCCGCAUAAAAGCAGUUUACAACCCAUAGGGCCGUCUUCCUGCACGCUACUUGGCUGGUUCAGGCUCCCGCCCAUUGACCAAUAUUCCUCACUGCUGCCUCCCGUAGGAGUUAGGACCGUGUCUCAGUUCCUAUGUGGGGGACCUUCCUCUCAGAACCCCUACCGAUCGAGGGCUUGGUGGGCCGUUACCCCGCCAACAACCUAAUCGGACGCAUCCCCAUCCCAUACCGAUAAAUCUUUGUUCCACCGAAAAUGCCCCCGAUGGAAAACAUAAGGUAUUAGUCCACAUUUCUGCGGGUUGUCCCUUGGUGUGGGGCAGGUUGGAUACGCGUUACUCACCCGUGCGCCGGUCGACGUCCGACAAGCGCAAGCGCUUGACGCCGUUUCCCCUCGACUUGCAUGUGUUAAGCCUGUAGCUAGCGUUCAUCCUGAGCCAGGAUCAAACUCU
rnacentral:rRNA from 1 species